GACGAACGCUGGCGGCGUGCUUAACACAUGCAAGUCGAACGAAGUGGCGAACGGGUGAGUAACGCGUAAUCAACCUGCCCUUCAGCGGGGGACAACAGUUGGAAACGACUGCUAAUACCGCAUCCUGAAGGGGGGGAUUGCGUCGUAUUAGCUAGUUGGAGGGGUAACGGCCCACAAAGGCGAUGAUCAGUAGCCGGGCUGAGAGGAUGAACGGCCACAUUGGGACUGAGACACGGCCCAGACUCCUACGGGAGGCAGCAGUGGGGAAUCUGCCGCAAUGGACGAAAGUCUGACGGAGCAACGCCGCGUGAGUGAUGACGGCCUUCGGGUUGUAAAGCUCUGUUAAUCGGGACGCGGUACCGGAAUAGAAAGCCACGGCUAACUACGUGCCAGCAGCCGCGGUAAUUC
rnacentral:rRNA from 1 species